UCAUCCUAUCCCCCAUUAAUGUUUUUUUUUUCUCAGAUCAUUUUACUUUUUUGAAUCUGGUAUCUUAUUUUCUAUACCUGCAGCUCUUGGUGUGCAGCAGCCUCUGUGAGCAUAUCCCUCUUAUUUUCUUGGAGCAGUCAGCCUUGGCAGAUCAACUCCAGUAUCAGCAGCAGAAACAACAACAACAGCAAA